UACGGAGGGGGCUAGCGUUGCUCGGAAUUACUGGGCGUAAAGCGCACGUAGGCGGUCUUUUAAGUCGGGGGUGAAAUCCUGGAGCUCAACUCCAGAACUGCCUUCGAUACUGGAAGACUUGAGUCCGGGAGAGGUGAGUGGAACUGCGAGUGUAGAGGUGAAAUUCGUAGAUAUUCGCAAGAACACCAGUGGCGAAGGCGGCUCACUGGCCCGGUACUGACGCUGAGGUGCGAAAGCGUGGGGAGCAAACAGG
rnacentral:rRNA from 1 species